rnacentral:lncRNA from 1 species
CCAGUUAUCUAUUGAAUCUGACCUUAUGAAUUCUGCCAAACAAAGAUUUUGUUCUCCGACCCUUGUUUACCAAAUUAUUUGUAACUCUCUCUAUUGGACAGUUCAAUUCAUAUGAAGCUUGUCUUAUCUGAAAGUAUAAUCCAAUGAUAUAUUUCUGAGUAAAUUGGAGCAUGAUUGAUAGUUUGAAUCAUUUGUUCAAUAUGCCUCUUGCAUUUUGCCAGAAAUCGAGCUUUGGUCGAUUUCUCAUAUUUUGGUUUCAUUCCUUUGGAAAUUGAUAUCCUUUAUCUUUCUUAUUCAAUUGAGCUUUAUAUUACUACUUUGAAUUCUUUUAUGCUCUUGUCCCUAAAAUUAUUGCAUUCUUGAAAACUGUUGUGUAACGUUUAUGCUAUAUUGUAUUGACUCGUAUAGGCACAUGUAUAUCCCAUUGUUCCGCAUUUGCUUUCGAUAUGUGCCUAUUCCAGUUUCAUUCUUUUGGAUAUUAAAUUCAUCUAACCUUCUUAUUUGAAUUGAGCU